rnacentral:rRNA from 1 species
UGUACUAGUUAAGUGCGUUUGAGCAAUGGAGGGACGCAGGAGGCUAAGAUGUGCAUUCUGUUGGAUUAGAAUGUCCAAGCAGUAAGUCUUGUGAAGAGUCAAAUGCUUUUCACUUUAAGGACAAGCUGUGAUGGGGAGCGAAAUUUAGUAGCGAAGCGUCUGAUGUCACACUGCCGAGAAAAGCUUCUAGUGAGUACUUAACUACCCGUACCGCAAACCGACACAGGUAGUCGAGGAGAGAAUCCUAAGGUGAGCGA